GACGUAGGUGGCAAGCGUUGUCCGGAUUUACUGGGCGUAAAGGGUGCGUAGGCGGUCAUUUAAGUCAGAUGUGAAAUCCCCGAGCUUAACUUGGGUGCUGCAUUUGAAACUGGGUGUCUAGAGUGCAGGAGAGGUAAGUGGAAUUCCUAGUGUAGCGGUGAAAUGCGUAGAGAUUAGGAAGAACACCAGUGGCGAAGGCGACUUACUGGACUGUAACUGACGCUGAGGCAUGAAAGCGUGGGGAGCAAACAGG
rnacentral:rRNA from 1 species